UAAGGCUGAGUAUUAGGCAAAUCCGGUACUCGUUAAGGCUGAGCUGUGAUGGGGAGAAGACAUUGAGUCUUCGAGUCGUUGAUUUCACACUGCCGAGAAAAGCCUCUAGAUAGAAAAUAGGUGCCCGUACCGCAAACCGACACAGGUAGUCAAGAUGAGAAUUCUAAGGUGAGCGAGCGAACUCUCGUUAAGGAACUCGGCAAAAUGACCCCGUAACUUCGGGAGAAGGGGUGCUCUUUAGGGUUAACGCCCAGAAGAGCCGCAGUGAAUAGGCCCAAGCGACUGUUUAUCAAAAACACAGGUCUCUGCUAAACCGUAAGGUGAUGUAUAGGGGCUGACGCCUGCCCGGUGCUGGAAGGUUAAGAGGAGUGGUUAGCUUCUGCGAAGCUACGAAUCGAAGCCCCAGUAAACGGCGGCCGUAACUAUAACGGUCCUAAGGUAGCGAAAUUCCUUGUCGGGUAAGUUCCGACCCGCACGAAAGGCGUAACGAUUUGGGCACUGUCUCAACGAGAGACUCGGUGAAAUCAUAGUACCUGUGAAGAUGCAGGUUACCCGCGACAGGACGGAAAGACCCCGUGGAGCUUUACUGUAGCCUGAUAUUGAAAUUCGGCACAGCUUGUACAGGAUAGGUAGGAGCCUUUGAAACGUGAGCGCUAGCUUACGUGGAGGCGCUGGUGGGAUACUACCCUAGCUGUGUUGGCUUUCUAACCCGCACCACUUAUCGUGGUGGGAGACAGUGUCAGGCGGGCAGUUUGACUGGGGCGGUCGCCUCCUAAAAGGUAACGGAGGCGCUCAAAGGUUCCCUCAGAAUGGUUGGAAAUCAUUCAUAGAGUGUAAAGGCAUAAGGGAGCUUGACUGCGAGACCUACAAGUCGAGCAGGGUCGAAAGACGGACUUAGUGAUCCGGUGGUUCCGCAUGGAAGGGCCAUCGCUCAACGGAUAAAAGCUACCCCGGGGAUAACAGGCUUAUCUCCCCCAAGAGUUCACAUCGACGGGGAGGUUUGGCACCUCGAUGUCGGCUCAUCGCAUCCUGGGGCUGUAGUCGGUCCCAAGGGUUGGGCUGUUCGCCCAUUAAAGCGGUACGCGAGCUGGGUUCAGAACGUCGUGAGACAGUUCGGUCCCUAUCCGUCGUGGGCGUAGGAAAUUUGAGAGGAGCUGUCCUUAGUACGAGAGGACCGGGAUGGACAUACCUCUGGUGUACCAGUUGUCGUGCCAACGGCAUAGCUGGGUAGCUAUGUGUGGACGGGAUAAGUGCUGAAAGCAUCUAAGCAUGAAGCCCCCCUCAAGAUGAGAUUUCCCAACUUCGGUUAUAAGAUCCCUCAAAGAUGAUGAGGUUAAUAGGUUCGAGGUGGAAGCAUGGUGACAUGUGGAGCUGACGAAUACUAAUCGAUCGAAGACUUAAUC
rnacentral:rRNA from 1 species